rnacentral:rRNA from 1 species
GUGGGGAAUUUUGGACAAUGGGGGCAACCCUGAUCCAGCCAUCCCGCGUGUGCGAUGAAGGCCUUCGGGUUGUAAAGCACUUUUGGCAGGAAAGAAACGGCGCCGGAUAAUACCUGGCGCAACUGACGGUACCUGCAGAAUAAGCACCGGCUAACUACGUGCCAGCAGCCGCGGUAAUACGUAGGGUGCAAGCGUUAAUCGGAAUUACUGGGCGUAAAGCGUGCGCAGGCGGUUCGGAAAGAAAGAUGUGAAAUCCCAGGGCUUAACCUUGGAACUGCAUUUUUAACUACCGGGCUAGAGUGUGUCAGAGGGGGGUGGAAUUCCACGUGUAGCAGUGAAAUGCGUAGAUAUGUGGAGGAACACCGAUGGCGAAGGCAGCCCCCUGGGAUAACACUGACGCUCAUGCACGAAAGCGUGGGGAGCAAACAGGAUUAGAAACCCGGGUAGUCC